AGCUCCAAUAGCGUAUAUUAAAGUUGUUGCGGUUAAAAAGCUCGUAGUUGGAUUCUGCUGAGGACGACCGGUCCGCCUCUGGGUGAGCAUCUGGCUCGCUUGGCAUCUUCUUGGAGAACGUAUCUGCACUUCAUUGUGUGGUGCGGUAACCAGGACUUACUUUGAGGAAUUAGAGUGUUUCAAGCAGGCACACGCCUUGA
rnacentral:rRNA from 1 species